rnacentral:rRNA from 1 species
UACGGAGGAUCCAAGCGUUAUCCGGAUUUAUUGGGUUUAAAGGGUGCGUAGGCGGAUUGAUAAGUUAGAGGUGAAAUGUCCGAGCUUAGCUCGGGAACUGCCUCUAAUACUGUUGAUCUAGAGAGUAGAUGCGGUAGGCGGAAUGUAUGGUGUAGCGGUGAAAUGCUUAGAGAUCAUACAGAACACCGAUUGCGAAGGCAGCUUACCAAUCUAUAUCUGACGUUGAGGCACGAAAGCGUGGGGAGCAAACAGG